rnacentral:rRNA from 1 species
UAACACAUGCAAGUCGAGCGGAUGACGGGAGCUUGCUCCUUGAUUCAGCGGCGGACGGGUGAGUAAUGCCUAGGAAUCUGCCUGGUAGUGGGGGACAACGUUUCGAAAGGAACGCUAAUACCGCAUACGUCCUACGGGAGAAAGCAGGGGACCUUCGGGCCUUGCGCUAUCAGAUGAGCCUAGGUCGGAUUAGCUAGUUGGUGGGGUAAUGGCUCACCAAGGCGACGAUCCGUAACUGGUCUGAGAGGAUGAUCAGUCACACUGGAACUGAGACACGGUCCAGACUCCUACGGGAGGCAGCAGUGGGGAAUAUUGGACAAUGGGCGAAAGCCUGAUCCAGCCAUGCCGCGUGUGUGAAGAAGGUCUUCGGAUUGUUAAGCACUUUAAGUUGGGAGGAAGGGCAGUAAGUUAAUACCUUGCUGUUUUGACGUUACCGACAGAAUAAGCACCGG